ensembl:rRNA 5S_rRNA 5S ribosomal RNA
GCCACAGCCAUAUCACCCUGCAGCCCAAGACUGGUUGCCCACUGAAGCUAAGCAGGGUUGAGCUGGUCAGUACCUGGAUGAGAGUAAUCCUGGGAAAACUAGGUUGCUGCUGGAA